GCAAUUUUAGUUUAAGUAGAAUAAUAGUUUGUCUUGCUAUUGGUGGUGUAAAUCAAGUUGCU
rnacentral:tRNA from 1 species